CAAGUGACAUUUUCUUUUGACCUUUUGAUGAUCAGAAACAAUAUUGUAUGACCACAAAUCCCUCUGACUGCAAUUACAAAUUUGAAAUGAAUGUUGUCUGCGUUUUGGGAUAUCAAGACCAAUGUGAUCUUGCUAAUCCAAAUCUAGAAUAUGAUAUCUAUUCGAGAAUGCAUCGCGUAGGGUGCAAGUCUGUCAAAUGAAGAAUGUGCUUCCUUAAAUUGCACGUAUUAUAAGCAGUCAUGUUUGUGCUUCCCCUACUUAUCAAAUGAAUGAAGUUCAAGAACAACAGAGCUCUCUCGACUUGUCUGAAUGCAAAUUCCCAUAUACGGUUCAAGUCCUAGACCAGACUUACCAAAUGUAGUUUAGGGUGUAGUCUACAUGUAUAGCAGUUAAACUAGUUGUACGUCGUUAUUAUAAAUAUAAUGACAACGAUGCCAAGUGGCAAAAGGUUGGGUAA